rnacentral:lncRNA from 1 species
GAUUUCUCCCUUUCCAACUCUUAACUUUGUCUCAAAAUUGUUAUGUAGCUUGAUCUUCAAGUCCUUCAACACCAUGCCAGUUUUCACCUUAAUCCAAGUAAUAGAUCUUCAGAUAUCAUAGAAACCCUAUCCAACCUCAAACUGCCACCUUUUAAAACCCACUUGUUCUAAAAACUAGAUAUCUCUAAACCACGCUGUUAGAUUAUUACAAAAAUUUUUACACACUUAUCACACCCAAUAAUCCAAAUAGUUUCAAGUUUUCAACUAUAGAUGUCACAUCAAUUCUACGAACUAGUCAAAAUUACAAGCCCUAAUUAUAUUAUAUAAAACCCAAAUCAUUGAUAUGAACCCUGAUUUCUAACAACAAUU